UUUUUAUUAAUUAAAACUAAAAACACCAACACACACACACACACCUUUGUGUGUGUUCUGGUCGCACAAAACACAGGAGCCAAGAAGGGCUCUCAAGCUCAAACCCUAACAAGCAUAAAAUCAACAAAUUAAAGGGGUAAAUCUAACCCAAAUCGAAAUCCAGACACGAAUUCGUGAUCACCUCGGUGAAGGGAUCAUAAGGCAAAUGAAUUAAAUCUUCAAGCGGACAAGUCGGAGUUAAUACGCGCUUGAAGGAAGAGCACCAAAGGUAAAGAUGCACUUUAGACCCUGGAGGAUGAUUAAGCCAUGUCAAGGACCGAACACACCAAACAAAGCUUCCGCAUUUUGUCUAUUUUGUUUUAGUGACAUGUAAACACUUGAAAUUAUGUUUUGAAAGUUUAUCUAGUAGGAUGUAGACUUGAAUGUUAUGAUCAAGUAUGAUCUUAAAACUAAAAAGAUUUUUUUGUAAACUCGGAAUUUUUGUACUAAAUGCAUGUUAUAUACUAUUAA